AACGUAGGAGACAAACGUUAUCCGGAGUUACUGGGCGUAAAGGGCGUGUAGGUGGUUAUGUAAGUCUGGCGUGAAAUUUUUCGGCUUAACCGGGAAAGGUCGUCGGAUACUACAAGACUUGAGGACGGUAGAGGCGUGUGGAAUUCCGGGUGUAGUGGUGAAAUGCGUAGAGAUCCGGAGGAACACCAGUGGCGAAGGCGACACGCUGGGCCGUACCUGACACUGAGGCGCGAUAGCAUGGGGAGCAAACAGG
rnacentral:rRNA from 1 species